rnacentral:rRNA from 1 species
GUCCUUUAGAGUAGAAUUUAAGGUCUAACCUGCUCACUGAUAAUUUUAAGAGCCGCAGUAAAUUGACUGUGCAAAGGUAGCAUAAUCAUUAGUUUUUUAAUUGAAAGCUUGUAUGAAUGGUUGGACGAGAUAUAAUCUGUCUUUAUUUUAUUAAUUGAAUUUAAUUUUUAAGUUAAAAAGCUUAAAUUUUUUUAAAAGACGAGAAGACCCUAUAGAUCUUUAUAUAAUUAUUUAUUUAUUUUUUAAGGAUUUUUAAUUUUUAAAUAAAAAUUUAUAUUUUAUUGGGGUAAUAAAAAGAUUUAAUUAAUUCUUUUUGAAAAUAUAUUGAUUAGUAAUUUUAAUGAUCCAAUAAUUUUGAUUAUAAGAUUAAGUUACCUUAGGGAUAACAGCGUAAUUUUUUUAGAGAGUUCAUAUCGAUAAAAAAGUUUGCGACCUCGAUGUUGGAUUAAAAUUUAUUUUAGGUGUAGUAGUUUAAAUAUUUAGUCUGUUCGACUAUUAAAAUUUU